rnacentral:lncRNA from 1 species
AUAUGUCAAUUGGUCUCCGGUAUAGACACUGGUAUGAACACUUUUGAAGAAAUUUUGCAAGAGUUCCAACUUGUGGAAAGCAUUAAUUUAUAUAACUUACAGUUGGCCUAAUUCAUAAAAUCCCAAGUGGGGUUCAGGUUGAAAAUUUUAUAAAGGUUUUGGACAAAAACAUGAUUUUUAUGAACACAAAAAUAUAUACAAAAAAAAA